rnacentral:rRNA from 1 species
AGUGAACGCUGGCGGUAGGCCUAACACAUGCAAGUCGAACGGCAGCACAGUAAGAGCUUGCUCUUACGGGUGGCGAGUGGCGGACGGGUGAGGAAUACAUCGGAAUCUACUUUUUCGUGGGGGAUAACGUAGGGAAACUUACGCUAAUACCGCAUACGACCUACGGGUGAAAGCAGGGGAUCUUCGGACCUUGCGCGAUUGAAUGAGCCGAUGUCGGAUUAGCUAGUUGGCGGGGUAAAGGCCCACCAAGGCGACGAUCCGUAGCUGGUCUGAGAGGAUGAUCAGCCACACUGGAACUGAGACACGGUCCAGACGCCUACGGGAGGCAGCAGUGGGGAAUAUUGGACAAUGGGCGCAAGCCUGAUCCAGCCAUACCGCGUGGGUGGAGAAGGCCUUCGGGUUGUAAAGCCCUUUUGUUGGGAAAGAAAAGCAGCAGGUUAAUACCCCGCUGUUCUGACGGUACCCAAAGAAGAAGCACCGGCUAACUUCGU